UGAACAUAUUCUUCUAUUUUAACAGGUUCUACGUUUCCAUUUGAGUGUUGGAUAUCAUCAACAUUGGACAUAUUAGAUGUAUUCUUUUGAUGAUGUAAAUUUCGAGCAUGCCUGGCAAGAUUACGCAAUUCUUUAGGAUAAGGAGUAGGUGCUCGAUGAAGUUGAUUGGGGACUUCAGAUUCUACCUCAGCAGCAAAACAUAUUCUUUUCCCAGAUCCAAUUAUCGAGCUUGAAAUUGGUCCUACAACUUGUGCCAUUUCUAACAAUAACAAAUGUAAAUGAUCUAUUAUAACAUUAAUUGGACUAUAAAAAAUGUGUAAAUUUUACAAGCUAAAAUAUUAAUUACAGAAUUUUAGUUUA